rnacentral:rRNA from 1 species
GAUGAACGCUAGCUACAGGCUUAACACAUGCAAGUCGAGGGACCGGCGCACGGGUGAGUAACACGUAUCCAACCUGCCCUUUACUCGGGGAUAGCCUUUCGAAGUAAGAUUAAUACCCGAUAUAAAGGUGGGGGAUGCGUUCGAUUAGGUUGUUGGUGAGGUAACGGCUCACCAAGCCUUCGAUGGACAGGGGUUCUGAGAGGAAGGUCCCCCACAUUGGAAAUGAGACACGGUCCAAACUCCUACGGGGGGCAGCAGUGAGUAAUAUUGGUCAAUGAGCGCUGGCCUGAACCAGCCAAGUAGCGUGAAGGAUGAAGGCUUAUGGGUCGUAAACUUCUUUUAUAUAAGAAGAUGUAUUAUAUGAAUAAGGAUCGGCUAACUCCGUGCCAGCAGCCGCGGUAAUUC